GUGUGUGUGUGUGUGUAUGUAUCGUUUCAGAAGCGGGAACCGGUUUUAUGGGAAUAAUCAAAUAUCUCUACGGCAGUUUCUCUUAACAGAUUGAAAUGAGUUUAUUCGGGACGAACACGGGUUUUGGGUCCGGGGGAACAGGUGUAUUCGGCAGCACCACCACAGACAGUCAUAAUCCAAUGAAGGAUGUUGAAGUGACAUCGCCACCCGAUGACAGCAUAAGUUGCUUGGCGUUCAGUCCCCCUACGAUGCCUGGGAACUUUCUCAUCGGAGGCUCUUGGGCCAAUGACGUACGUUGCUGGGAGGUUCAAGAUAAUGGUCAGACUGUCCCUAAAGCCCGGCAGAUGCACACAGGCCCAGUGCUGGAUGUGUGCUGGAGUGAUGUAAGAUAAUUUACACAUUAUAAAUAUUAGUCGUCUAUUUAAAGAUGUCGGCCAACCAACAUUCUGCAACAUUUUAAUGAAAAUAUAUGUAUUUGUCUAAGAAUUGCAAUCACUUGGCACAAUUUAGCAAAUCUUCAAAUUGUUCUUGUGCAUAACCACAGAACACAGAAUAAACCCACUGGCACAGAAUAAAAGC